GCAGCCUUCUUCCUGCAGCAGCCACGAGGAGCACGGGGAUGCAUUCCAGCCACAGUAACGAGUUGACCCCGCCCCACCAGGAAUGCUGAGUUCUGUCAAGGGAUGGAGAAAGUCCUCAGAGCCCCCUGAGGUAUUGUCCCUGCUACAGUCCACUCCAGACCCAGUCCCACCCACCCCCACUCCCGCAGACUCUUAGGGAAGGACUGCCCGCACACACUCCUGAAGGAUCAUGGGCGAUAAGGAAAAACCACCGUACAGCAGUCCCUGCUGUGUGUCACAAGGAGAAAGGGAAGUGAAACAAACCCAAGCCCUGGGUUUAGACAAAGGGUAGAGAAGAAACAGAUCGAACCUGCAGGCAGCUCUUUAAAGGUUUAGAAGACACCGUCUUGCUUGCCAUUUCUUGAUUAAUCCUACACAGAAGUUGCGGUGAGGCCAGUUUCACACCCCAUCAUGAAGGGCUGUCGUGUGGUCUUGGGAAUACUGUGGGCUUGGUGAGGAGGACUGGAGCUGGGGUUUCAGGUGCUGUACCAGCUUUUCAUCCAAUUUUGGAGAAGUUGCUUCUUCUUCUCUCUGUGUUCCAGUCUCCUUAGUCAUAAAACGAGAAGUGGGUCUUCCUUUCAGCCGCCCCAUUCUGAAAUCCAAGAGGCUGUCCCCAGAAGUGACACCAGAUAAUUCAAGAGCAUUGAGGUGCAUUCUUAGAAAGGCAGAGAUUGGAGGAAGAGGAGCCUGUCCAUAAGAAUAGGUAUAAAUGACUGAAAAAAGCUUUGAAAUUGUCUUACUCUGAGUAAAUGACCAGAGUGUAUACAAAGACUGGUCUAAAAGAAAGAGGCGUUGAUGGAAGGUUCUCUGGAUUGUUUGCUGCUGCUGCUGCUGCUGCUGCUGCUGCUGCUGCUGCUGCUGCUGCUGUUGUUGUAUUAAAUGAGUUGAGGAAGAGGAGUGAUGCGCCUAACACAGGCCUCCUUGGGAACCAUGGAGUAGGUUGUGUAGACCACCUCUCCUUCUGGAAACAACUGAAAAUACAGAUUUUUUUAAAAAUCUGCCUAAAAACCAAAGAGAUGACAAGAGAACAUUGCCAUAUUAAAAGUAAAGAGAAACGAAGACGAAUUAGGACCAAGCAUAGUGGCACGUGCAUAUGACAAGACCAUAAGACGAUGUAAACUAACUUCAAGAAAUUUAAUAUGAAAGGAAAAAAUGAAAUAAAAAGAGAAGGGGGAAUCACCCGGUGUGGUAAGCAGGCGUCAUAGCUGCUGCUAAGCUGAACCUAUGUGCUGAGCUUUGAAAUCCAGGAGCUUUAUUCCCAGAGCUCAAUGGCACAUAAACAAAAUCAAGGUCCAGGCCCACAUACUGUGAAGCAUCUGUAAGGAGACACACCUCUCCCACCAAGCUAGAACCCCAAAAACUUCACCCUCAGAAUGAGGUCAGGCAGAUGUGGUCCAGCACCCACGGCAGCAGGGCCUGGCUCCAGGCUUCUUGGUCUGUUCCAACCUCCUGAUAUAGUGUGUCCCAAGGAUCUGUAGCAUCAGUUCAGGGAGCACAAAGGAAACAAGUCCUUAGGCUCCUGUGUCAGAAUCAGAGACCCUGUGAGCUGAUAGGCUGCCAACUUGACAUAACCUAGGCACAUGUGGGAUGAGGGGAUCUCAGGUGAGGCAUUUUCUUGACUGACAUGAGAGGUCCAGCCUAUUACAGGUAGUGCCUACACUGGGCAGAUGAUCCUGAAGUGUAUAAAAAGGCAAACUAAGCGGCAAGCCAUAGGGAGGAAGCCAGGAAGCAGCACUCCUCCACGGCCUCUGCCUCAGUCCCUGCCUCCAGGUUCCUGCUUGAGCCUUGGCUUCCUUUCAUGAUGGAGUGCAAUCCGUAUGUGUAAAGCCAACAAACCCCUUUCUCCUCGGGUUGCUUUUGCCGUGGUGUCUCUCUCAUAGUAUCAGAAAGCAAUUAGAACACCCCCAGAAGCAACCCAAAUCCUUUUGCGUUUUAUUGUACUUUUGUUGUAGGUUUUAUUGCAGGAAAUAAAGUUUUUCUAAAUCGACUUCCAGUAAAUAUCAACGAUAACAGCACAAAAAGAAAAUGGAGCAAUGGAGCCAUAAGAGAAAGUCAGCAAAAACAACAGAAGAGAAACCAGCCAGAGAGCCCAGAGCCCGGCGGCACUGUCAGGGCUGGUCUAUAAAAACAGUCAUUGAUACUUUAGACAGUAAGUAUGUAUGUAAGCAUGAAAAAUUAAAAGUGAGUCUACAGACAUCCCCGGUAAGGAGGAACCUACGGAAACGGACAGUGGACUUGGUAAAUAACCAGAGAGAACUUCUAGACUUGUUCAGCAGACGUCACCCAUGUGUGGCUCACUGUCAUGGGCAGCGAGAUCCCUGUCACUGAAGCUCUGAGAAGCACUUAUUACAGGAAGGGCAUCUAAAGCACAUUCUGUUGCAUCGUUCCGUCCUCACAGGAAAUGUCAAUAAACGGUGUAGUCACUUCAUAGCAAUAGUCACCCACGGCAGAAAACUGAAACCCACCAGAGAAAACUGAAACCCACCACAGAAAAAAUUUUGAACAACAAAAUGGGAAAAAUUAAAGCCUCCUCUAAUUUUACCACCGAGAGACAACUUUAUCACUGUGGGUGCUUGGUUUUCCCCAGGCUUUCCCUCUCCUACCCCGGUUCCUGUUUUUGAGAGGGGUGCUUUGUAUGUUGAACGUACAAUUUUAGAGUUUGCUUCUAUUGCUAACAAUAGAUAGGGCACCUCUUCCUGAGUUAAUAAAUGCACAGCUGCCCAGAAUACUUAACGUGUGCCUGGUUAGGCUCUCAUACGGGUGUAUGACAGCUUAUUCAACAAACCUUCCACUGUGGAGCAUUUAAGUCGAUUCCUAUCUUUACUGUGAAAAUAGCAUCUUGUAGCUCUAUCCUUUUGCAUAUCCUUAACUAUUUCGCCAGGAUGUACUCCUGGAUGUGGGAAUGGAUCUAUGCCUUGGGUUUUGACAAUCUUCCCUUUAUUAAGGUUCCCAACAGCAAUGCACGAGUGUGAACACUUGCUUGCCUGAGAAAAGCAGACUGUUUCCUUUGUGUUUCUUUGCCCUUUGAUUUCUUUUCCUUUGCAAAUUAAAUAGAGUUCACGUGGUAAUGCAUGGCCCGGCUGGUAGAAAUAAAGACUAGCUAAUGUCAUUACUGUCAUCGCCCUGGACUUCGUGGUAAGGGAACCACCCUUGGACACUGUAAGCACCAACCUCAAACUUGUCAUUUUAUUUAUAUUUAAAUACACUUAUUUUAUUGACUGGAGCCACGCAUGUAUAAACAUUUUUAUAUGAAGAAAUUCAUGAGCCUUAAUCCUUUCCUGCCUUUGGCGAGAGACUGAACGACCCUUUCUGCUCUCAGCGUAUAUAAACGGUGCUCAAGUGUUCAUCUCGCAAAGUGUGACAUCAUACAUUAUAUGUAAACCCAUAGUACACCUAGGAUUUAUUUUCAUAUAAAAGGUGGGAUAAAGAGCAAAGGUUUUUCACAAAUGACAAAUGGCUUACCUAGUCAACACUUGGAGUAUUUUUUUCAACUGGAACAGUAAUGUUUUUGAAUCAAGCUCUGUAAAUAGCCCCUUCAGAGUGGAGAGGGAUUAAUUGCUGCGUGUCAGAAGUCAGCAUGGGGCCGGCUCUGUUAAACACACUAAUGGCUGAGGUGGAUGGGGCUCUGGCAAGCAGGCUGCGAGCUUCUCCCUGUCCAGUGGUGACUUAAGUGGGUGACUUAGAGCCCAACAUGACAAUGAGAAAAACCAGACAGCCCUCAGUGUCAGCAGGGAGCGUGGCUGUAGUGUGUAGGGUGGCCGCCUGCCUGGAGGCUCAUCCAACUCCUGGGCCUUCACAGUGUAAAUCCAAAAGAGGAGCGAUCUGAGAAUGGUCCGGGC